UACGUAGGGUGCGAGCGUUAAUCGGAAUUACUGGGCGUAAAGCGUGCGCAGGCGGUUGUGCAAGACAGAUGUGAAAUCCCCGGGCUUAACCUGGGAAUUGCAUUUGUGACUGCACGGCUAGAGUGUGUUAGAGGGGGGUAGAAUUCCACGUGUAGCAGUGAAAUGCGUAGAGAUGUGGAGGAAUACCGAUGGCGAAGGCAGCCCCCUGGGAUAACACUGACGCUCAUGCACGAAAGCGUGGGGAGCAAACAGG
rnacentral:rRNA from 1 species